UUUAACGCUGGCGGCAGGCCUAACACAUGCAAGUCGAACGGUAACAGGAAGCAGCUUGCUGCUUCGCUGACGAGUGGCGGACGGGUGAGUAAUGUCUGGGAAACUGCCUGAUGGAGGGGGAUAACUACUGGAAACGGUAGCUAAUACCGCAUAACGUCGCAAGACCAAAGAGGGGGACCUUAGGGCCUCUUGCCAUCGGAUGUGCCCAGAUGGGAUUAGCUAGUAGGUGGGGUAACGGCUCACCUAGGCGACGAUCCCUAGCUGGUCUGAGAGGAUGACCAGCCACACUGGAACUGAGACACGGUCCAGACUCCUACGGGAGGCAGCAGUGGGGAAUAUUGCACAAUGGGCGCAAGCCUGAUGCAGCCAUGCCGCGUGUAUGAAGAAGGCCUUCGGGUUGUAAAGUACUUUCAGCGGGGAGGAAGGGAGUAAAGUUAAUACCUUUGCUCAUUGACGUUACCCGCAGAAGAAGCACCGGCUAACUCCGUG
rnacentral:rRNA from 1 species